rnacentral:rRNA from 1 species
UGAUUAAUGCUCUAUACUCUUUUUAACUCACAUGAGUUUUUAAGAAAAGCUCCGGCGGUAAAAGAUGGGCAUGCGUCCUAUUAGGUUGUAGGUGAGGUAACGGCUCACCUAAGCUCCGAUAGGUAGGGGUCCUGAGAGGGAGAUCCCCCACACUGGUACUGAGACACGGACCAGACUUCUACGGAAGGCAGCAGUAAGGAAUAUUGGACAAUGGAGGAAACUCUGAUCCAGCGAUGCCGCGUGAAGGAAGACGGCCCUAUGGGUUGUAAAC